CCUACGGGGGGCUGCAGUGGGGAAUAUUGCACAAUGGGGGAAACCCUGAUGCAGCGACGCCGCGUGGAGGAAGAAGGUUUUCGGAUUGUAAACUCCUGUCGUUAGGGACGAUAAUGACGGUACCUAACAAGAAAGCACCGGCUAACUACGUGCCAGCAGCCGCGGUAAAACGUAGGGUGCAAGCGUUGUCCGGAAUUACUGGGUGUAAAGGGAGCGCAGGCGGACCGGCAAGUUGGAAGUGAAAACUAUGGGCUCAACCCAUAAAUUGCUUUCAAAACUGCUGGCCUUGAGUAGUGCAGAGGUAGGUGGAAUUCCCGGUGUAGCGGUGGAAUGCGUAGAUAUCGGGAGGAACACCAGUGGCGAAGGCGACCUACUGGGCACCAACUGACGCUGAGGCUCGAAAGCAUGGGUAGCAAACAGGAUUAGAUACCCUAGUAGUC
rnacentral:rRNA from 1 species